rnacentral:rRNA from 1 species
GACGAACGCUGGCGGCGUGCUUAACACAUGCAAGUCGAACGGAAAGGCCCUGCUUUUGUGGGGUGCUCGAGUGGCGAACGGGUGAGUAACACGUGAGUAACCUGCCCUUGACUUUGGGAUAACUUCAGGAAAUUGGGGCUAAUAACGGAUAGGAGCUCCUGCUGCAUGGUGGGGGUUGGAAAGUUUCGGCGGUUGGGGAUGGACUCGCGGCUUAUCAGCUUGUUGGUGGGGUAGUGGCUUACCAAGGCUUUGACGGGUAGCCGGCCUGAGAGGGUGACCGGCGACAUUGGGACUGAGAUACGGCCCAGACUCCUACGGGAGGCAGCAGUGGGGAAUAUUGCACAAUGGGCGGAAGCCUGAUGCAGCAACGCCGCGUGCGGGAUGACGGCCUUCGGGUUGUAAACCGCUUUCGCCUGUGACGAAGCGUGAGUGACGGUAAUGGGUAAAGAAGCACCGGCUAACUACGUG